CCCAAACCCCCAAUUAAAGCCUGCCCUAAUUUCUCCCUUACAUUGUCCCUAAACCGCGCUCUAAUUUCCCAAAUCCCCCAAACAUUACGAACAAAAACACAAAAAAGAUUCCAGACUUAGUAAAUUAGAAAGCUUGAGAUUGCGAAGUAGAGAUAAAAACGCAUGGUCCAGACCUGAAUACGGGACCUCAGUGUGGGAUUAUGUUGACUGCAGUGGGUGUGGACCCCAAUAACAACCUCUAUGCAAUUGCAUAUGUUGUUGUUAUGUAGUGGGUGGUGGAUGCAAAAGCUGGGGUUACAGACCAGGCUACAAAUCAACCAAAUGCUGCAAAAAAAAAAAUGACUGUCAAAAGGAAGAAGACACAGCCACAACAAGCCACUGGAGGAUCGGUUGCUGAAGCUGAAAAUGGAGGAUCCGUUAUUGAAGCUGAAUUGGAGUUAGUUGCUGAAGCUGAACUAGAGCACAUAAGCAACUAUUACCAAGACUAUCAGGAUUAAAGGUACCACGAGGCUCAAAAGACAGGGGCAAACAUCCAAUAACAACAAAUUUUAGCGAACAACUACCUCUAAGUCAGGAGUCCGGCACAACUGCAAGACCAAAAGUGCUAAUGAAAGGAGGAAAUAAAUAUAUGACUAUCAAAUCUAAAAGAUGUGUUGAAAAGUGGUGGAAAUUGAAAACAGAAGAAGGUUGGAAGCAAAAAGGAUUGCUUCAUUAGUUAGAUGUAGCAUGACAAAAUGUUUGUUUUUGGCACUUGUAAAGUUGAUCAGUAUUUUGUCUGUUUUUGGUGAACACAUGAUAUGACUAGCACUUUGUUGAUCAAUUUUUUGAACAAAUUGUAUUGACUAGCACUUUGAAUGAAUUGUUUAAUUUUUGAACGAA